CUCACACCCACAUGCACGGGAUCCCUCUGAAAACUUCGAGGGCAAAGCCCGAUCGCACCGCACGCACGGGGUCCCCUCUGCAGCCGGAGGGCAUCCCCAGUCUCACCCACAUGCACGGGAUCCCUCUGAAAACUUCGAGGGCAAAGCCCGAUCGCACCGCACGCACGGGGUCCCCUCUGCAGGCGGAGGGCAUCCCCAGUCUCACCCACAUGCACGGGAUCC